UACCAGCACCCCCGAGUGGUCGGGACGAUUAUUGGGCCUAAAGCAUCCGUAGCCGGUCUUGCAAGUCUUCCGUUAAAUCCAGCUGCUUAACAGAUGGGCUGCGGAGGAUACUACAAGGCUAGGAGGCGGGAGAGGCAAACGGUACUCAGUGGGUAGGGGUAAAAUCCAUUGAUCUACUGAAGACCACCAGUGGCGAAGGCGGUUUUGCCAGAACGCGCUCGACGGUGAGGGAUGAAAGCUGGGGGGA
rnacentral:rRNA from 1 species